CUACGGGUCGCUGCAGUGGGGAAUUUUGGGCAAUGGGCGAAAGCCUGACCCAGCGACGCUGCGUGGACGAUGAAGGUCUUUGGAUUGUAAAGUCCUUUAUGGGGGAGUAAGACAUGACCGAGGAAAUGCGGUUGUGUUUGCAAGUACCCCAUGAAUAAGCCCUAGCUAACUACGUGCCAGCAGCUGCGGUAAUACGUAGAGGGCAAGCGUUGUCCGGAAUCACUGGGUGUAAAGGGUGUGCAGGCGUUUUCAUAAGUGAAUUGUGAAAUCCCGGAGCUCAACUCCGGAACGGCAGUUCAUACUGUGAAAAUCGAGGUCAUGAGAGGAAAACAGAAUUCCCGGUGUAGCGGUGAAAUGCGUAGAGAUCGGGAGGAAUACCAAUGGCGAAGGCAGUUUUCUGGCAUGAUUCUGACGCUCAUACACGAAGGCUAGGGGAGCAAACAGGAUUAGAUACCCUGGUAGUC
rnacentral:rRNA from 1 species